AGAGACAGCAGUAGCCGCGGUAAUACGAAGGGUGCAAGCGUUACUCGGAAUUACUGGGCGUAAAGCGUGCGUAGGUGGUGGUUUAAGUCCGUUGUGAAAGCCCUGGGCUCAACCUGGGAAUUGCAGUGGAUACUGGAUCACUAGAGUGUGGUAGAGGAUAGUGGAAUUUCCGGUGUAGCAGUGAAAUGCGUAGAGAUCGGAAGGAACAUCUGUGGCGAAGGCGACUAUCUGGGCCAACACUGACACUGAGGCACGAAAGCGUGGGGAGCAGACAGGAUUAGAUACCCGAGUAGUCCCUGUCUCUUAUAA
rnacentral:rRNA from 1 species